GAUGAACGCUAGCGGCAGGCCUAAUACAUGCAAGUCGAACGAUAUUAAGAGGCUUGCUUCUUAUGAAAGUGGCGCACGGGUGCGUAACGCGUAUGCAACCUACCUUAAUCAGGGGGAUAGCCCGAAGAAAUUCAGAUUAAGACCGCAUAAAAACACAGGAUAGCAUUAUCCAAUGUUCAAAUAUUUAUAGGAUUAAGAUGGGCAUGCGUGUCAUUAGCUAGUUGGCGGGGUAACGGCCCACCAAGGCGACGAUGACUAGGGGAUCUGAGAGGAUGACCCCCCACACUGGUACUGGGACACGGACCAGACUCCUACGGGAGGAAGCAGUAAGGAAUAUUGGUCAAUGGAGGGAACUCUGAACCAGCCAUGCCGCGUGCAGGAAGACAGCCCUCUGGGUCGUAAACUGCUUUUAUUCGGGAAUAAACCUUUCUACGUGUAGGAAGCUGAAUGUACCGAAGGAAUAAGGAUCGGCUAACUCCGUGCCAGCAGCCGCCGUAA
rnacentral:rRNA from 1 species